rnacentral:misc_RNA from 1 species
AAAAGGGUCCAACGACUCCAAAAACCUACCGUGCUCCCCAUGUGGAAAGCAGUUAGCCCUCGCCGGCAAUUGGUAUCUGAGAACAGAACUCGCGCCUCGGCGCAGAAUCAAUAAAUAAAUCA